CCCUUUACUUAUAUUAAGUUAUUCUAUACUACUAUAGAAGCCAUUAUGUUAAAACUAGUAAUAAGNAGGCAGUGCCUCUCUUAAAUGUAAGCAUAAAUCAGAAAGGACCCACCACUGAUAANUCAACGUCCUUGACUACAAAACAGCAANCUUCUCUAGAAAACCCUGCUAUCANNNNCUGACGUUAACCUGACACUAGCACAUUUCAAGAAAGAUUAAAAGAAAAAGAAGGAACUCGGCAAACAUUAACCUCGCCUGUUUACCAAAAACAUCGCCUCUUGNCACAANUAUAAGAGGUCCAGCCUGCCCAGUGACUUAGUUCAACGGCCGCGGUAUCCUAACCGUGCGAAGGUAGCGUAAUCACUUGUUCUUUAAAUGAGGACUAGUAUGAAUGGCACCACGAGGGUUACACUGUCUCCUUUUUCCAAUCAAUAAAACUGAUCUUCCCGUGAAGAAGCGGGAAUUAUAAUAUUAGACGAGAAGACCCUAUGGAGCUUCAAACUANUAUAGCACUGACUUUUACANNNNNCUUUACUCUUCANNNNNGAGUCCUNACACUUAUUCUGCUCUUUUUGACUAUUAGUUUUGGGUUGGGGUGACCGCGGAGCAAAGAUUAACCUCCAUGAUGAACAAAACCGNCUUUUGAACCAUAAGCCACAACUUUAAGCACCAAUAAAUUGACAUAAAUUGACCCANNUUUUUGACCAACGAACCAAGUUACCCUAGGGAUAACAGCGCAAUCUACUUCAAGAGCCCCUAUCGACAAGUGGGUUUACGACCUCNGAUGUUGGAUCAGGGUAUCCUAGUGGUGCAGCCGCUACUAAAGGUUCGUUUGUUCAACGAUUAAAACCCUACGUGAUCUGAGUUCAGACCGGAGCAAUCCAGGUCAGUUUCUAUCUAUAGCAGGACUUUUUCUAGUACRAAAGGACCGNAAAAAGAAUGGCCAAUACUAAAAGCAAGCCAUCAUACAUAAUUUAUGAUUUAACCUAAAUAAAAAAUUAACCUCCCACNNUUUUUUCAAGAAAAGAAAN
rnacentral:rRNA from 1 species